UGGGGAAUCUUCCGCAAUGGACGAAAGUCUGACGGAGCAACGCCGCGUGAGUGAAGACGGCCUUCGGGUUGUAAAGCUCUGUGAUCCGGGACGAAAGAGCCUGAGGUAAAUAGCCUAAGGAAGUGACGGUACCGGAAAAGCAAGCCACGGCUAACUACGUGCCAGCAGCCGCGGUAAUACGUAGGUGGCAAGCGUUGUCCGGAAUUAUUGGGCGUAAAGCGCGCGCAGGCGGCUUACUAAGUCCAUCUUAAAAGUGCGGGGCUUAACCCCGUGAUGGGAUGGAAACUGGAAAGCUGGAGUAUCGGAGAGGAAAGUGGAAUUCCUAGUGUAGCGGUGAAAUGCGUAGAGAUUAGGAAGAACACCGGUGGCGAAGGCGACUUUCUGGACGAAAACUGACGCUGAGGCGCGAAAGCGUGGGGAGCAAACAGGA
rnacentral:rRNA from 1 species